rnacentral:rRNA from 1 species
AUUGAACGCUGGCGGCAGGCCUAACACAUGCAAGUCGAACGAGUGGCGGACGGGUGAGUAAUGUCUGGGAAACUGCCCGAUGGAGGGGGAUAACUACUGGAAACAGUAGCUAAUACCGCAUACCAUCGGAUGUGCCCAGAUGGGAUUCGCUAGUAGGUGGGGUAACGGCUCACCUAGGCGACGAUCCCUAGCUGGUCUGAGGGGAUGAAAGGCCAAACUGGAACUGAGACACGGUCCAGACUCCUACGGGAGGCAGCAGUGGGGAAUAUUGCACAAUGGGCGCAAGCCUGAGGCAGCCAUGCCGGGUGUAUGAAGAAGGCCUUCGGGUUGUAAAGUACUUUCAGCGAGGAGGCGUUACUCGCAGAAGAAGCACCGGCUAACUCCGUGCCAGCAGCCGCGGUAAAC